rnacentral:rRNA from 1 species
AUGCACACCGGCCGCCUCCUCCAUCUCCUCCUGCUGCUCGCCGCCGCCGGCCGCUCGCUGGCCCGCGGCGGCAUCUUCGGGGCAGCGUCGCCGCCGUCCAGCCCCGACGGCGACCAGAAGUGCAGCCGGACGUGCGAGUCCGCGUACUGCACGGGCACCUUAGAGGCUCCGCUGAUGCGGUACGGCAAGUACUGCGGCGUGUCCUACACGGGGUGCCCCGGCGAGCCCCCCUGCGACGCCCUCGACGCCUGCUGCAUGCUCCACGACGCCUGCGUCCAGGCCACCGACGACUACCUCAACAUGUGGUGCAACCAGAGCCUGCUGGACUGCGUGGCCGCCGUGAGGACCGCGGCCGCGGCGGCGGGCGGCGGCGUGGAGGCCGUGCUGACGACGUUCGAGGGGAACAGCUGCAACGCCACGGACGUCGCCGACGAGAUCACCUCCAUCCUCGAGGCCGCCGUGUACGCCGGGAGCAUCCUGCGCAGAGCGCCGGCGCCGGCCCCGGCGAAGUAG